ensembl:lncRNA
AUGCCAAGAAAAGGUCAAAGGUCGCAGUCCCAGAAGCUUAGAUGGCAAAAGCAGAAAGAACAGGUAAAUGUUUCUCAGAGCAGUGAGCAGGUAAAGGUGUCUGUUACAACUAUUCCCAGUCCAGAAGUGCAGAACAGUGCUCAGACAGCUGCAGUGUCCUAUGCAGAUGUGGUAAAGAGAGGUGUUCGCUCAGCAUGUGUGUCAGAUGCUAAAGUACAGCAGGUAAUCCAGACUGAACCCCAGGUAACUCUGCAAAUGCAGCAUGAUGGAGAAGCUCCAGGACCAUCUCAUGUACAGGUUACAAACAGUGAAAGUCAUCCACGAGUGAGUAGCAUCUGUGCAUCCCGAAGCCAGGCCUCUGCUAAGUAUGGAAAGUACAGGAAUCAGCAAUGCAUGGCGAACAGUUUGGUUUUCCUGUCAUUCUUACACGAGGAUGAAUUCAUUACCAGAGCAGAUCUAAACCGUGUGUUGGAUAAAGGCCAUGCUGUGUAUUCAGAUGCCAGAAAGAGGUUUGUGAACAGCGUGUUCCUCGCCUGUGAUGAGCUUCCCACAGUGGUCACCAGCCGCAGACACCAGUAUCAAGUGGAUAUGUCUCAGUUUGCUCAUUACGGCACAUUUGAUGGUACAGCUCACCUUCCGAGCCUUGAACAGGGACUACAGUGUUUGGCUUCAGCGGUUUGCUAUGCUUUGCUAGUCAUGGGAGGAACAGUCAUCGCAGUUUGCAGGCUGACUUCAGGUGAAUAUGCAUACUUUGACCCUCACCCACGUAAGUCUACAGGAAUGCCAUUGUCGCUAGCUGUAAGUGGUGGAACUGCAGUUAUGUUAAAAUUCACACGUCUUAACGACAUGAUUGACAGGAUCAAACGCUUGUACCGAAUGUUUAGCAUCGCACCAACCUGCACUUAUGAGCUACAGCCUGUCGAGUUUCACAGUGAAAACGCAGCUGACCAAACAGAUGCUGAUGAAAACAGACAAACAGCUACAACUGUUCCAGCACCAGCUUUAAAUGAACCUGAAUUUGAAACCCCAAAAUCCACUGAGCAAACACAGAAAACUGUGACCCACACUUUAGCCACUGAAGUGAUGUCAUCCAGAGUGGAUUAUUCAAAUGAGCCAGCCGCUGAGCUGAACAAUUGUCCUUCUGAUUAUUUAGAAAUAGAAACCUCUGCAUCUUCUGUAAGAGACACUCAGGUAACAAAAGAAUCUGUUCCUCAGAAUGAUUUAAACACUGCCUCCUGUUUAACUAAGACAACAGAGGAACUCUCACAUAAACUGUUGAAGCGUAAUAAACAGCAAAGGAGAAAGAUUAGGAGACGAUUAUUGGUCCAAGAAAAACUACCACAGAGAAAGGAAAAUGAGAAAAAGAAAGAAAGACAGACGUACACUUUUGAUGAAAGCUUUAAGGCAAAGAAAAAAGAUUCUAGUAGAAAGUCUCAUGAUUCUGAUCACAGUAAGAAAAAGAGUGUGUACAAAAAUAAUCUGUAUAAACUCAAUGCUACAUAUAGAGAGAAACAGAGAGAAUAUUUGAGAAAAAUCUAUAGAGAUAGUGCUAAAAUUAGAGAGAGAAAAAGAGAACGUGUCAUAAGGAUGUAUAAAGAAGAUUCUUUAUUCCGAGAAAAGCAGAAGGAACGUAUAACAAGAACAUAUAGAGAAUCUACCAUUUUCCGAGAAAAGCAGAAGGAACGU